GAAAUAUUUUAAAGUAAGCUUCUAACUUAACUAAUUAGCGAAUUAUCCCGUUUAUAUUUCU
rnacentral:tRNA from 1 species